CGCAUAGUCUUCGAUGACGGCAUCAGAUUUGAAGUAAAGAUUUAUCGGUAAUGGAUGGGGAUGCGUCUGAUUAGCUUGUUGGCGGGGUAACGGCCCACCAAGGCAACGAUCAGUAGGGGUUCUGAGAGGAAGGUCCCCCACAUUGGAACUGAGACACGGUCCAAACUCCUACGGGAGGCAGCAGUGAGGAAUAUUGGUCAAUGGACGAGAGUCUGAACCAGCCAAGUAGCGUGCAGGAUGACGGCCCUAUGGGUUGUAAACUGCUUUUGUAUGGGGAUAAAGUCAAUCACGUGUGAUUGUUUGCAGGUACCAUACGAAUAAGGACCGGCUAAUUCCGUGCCAGCAGCCGCGGUAAUACGGAAGGUCCGGGCGUUAUCCGGAUUUAUUGGGUUUAAAGGGAGCGUAGGCCGGAGAUUAAGUGUGUUGUGAAAUGUAGACGCUCAACGUCUGACUUGCAGCGCAUACUGGUUUCCUUGAGUACGCACAACGUUGGCGGAAUUCGUCGUGUAGCGGUGAAAUGCUUAGAUAUGACGNAGAACUCCGAUUGNGAAGGCAGCUGACGGGAGCGCAACUGACGCUUAAGCNCGAAGGUGCGGGUAUCGAACAGG
rnacentral:rRNA from 1 species